rnacentral:pre_miRNA from 1 species
GUUUUCACCUUGGCCAAUGUCGUAACGCUAGUAUCGUCUUGGUUAUGGUGAAAAUGG